UAACUCUGGAACUGCCAUCAAAACUUUUUAGCUAGAGUAUGAUAGAGGAAAGCAGAAUUUCUAGUGUAGAGGUGAAAUUCGUAGAUAUUAGAAAGAAUACCAAUUGCGAAGGCAGCUUUCUGGAUCAUUACUGACGCUGAGGAACGAAAGCAUGGGUAGCGAAGAGGAUUAGAUACCCUCGUAGUCCAUGCCGUAAACGAUGUGUGUUAGACGUUGGAAAUUUAUUUUCAGUGUCGCAGCGAAAGCAUUAAACACACCGCCUGGGGAGUACGACCGCAAGGUUAAAACUCAAAUGAAUUGACGGGGACCCGCACAAGUAGUGGAGCAUGUGGUUUAAUUCGAAGAUACGCGCAGAACCUUACCAACACUUGACAUGUUCGUCGCGACUCUAAGAGAUUAGAGUUUUCGGUUCGGCCGGACGAAACACAGGUGCUGCAUGGCUGUCGUCAGCUCGUGUCGUGAGAUGUUGGGUUAAGUCCCGCAACGAGCGCAACCCUCACUUUUAGUUGCCAUCAUUAAGUUGGGCACUCUGAAAGAACUGCCAGUGAUAAGCUGGAGGAAGGUGGGGAUGACGUCAAGUCCUCAUGGCCCUUACGUGUUGGGCUACACACGUGCUACAAUGGUAUCUACAACAGGAAGCAAGACUGCGAGGUCAAGCAAAUCCCUAAAAGAUACCUCAGUUCGGAUUGCGCUCUGCAACUCGAGUGCAUGAAGCUGGAAUUACUAGUAAUCGUGGAUCAGCGUGCCACGGUGAAUGCGUUCCCGGGUCUUGUACACACCGCCCGUCACACCAUGGGAGUUGGUUCUACCUUAAGGCAAGGUUUAAUACCCUUGACCACGGUAUAGUCAGCGACUGGGGUGAAGUCGUAACAAGGUAGCCGUA
rnacentral:rRNA from 1 species